rnacentral:rRNA from 1 species
GAUGAACGCUAGCGGCAGGCUUAAUACAUGCAAGUCGUGGGGCAGCGCAGUGUAGCAAUACAUGGGCGGCGACCGGCAAACGGGUGCGUAACACGUACGCAACCUUCCCGUUACUGGGGAAUAGCCCAGGGAAGCUUGGUUUUAUACCCCAUAUUAUAUUGAUUGGGCAUCUAAUUAAUAUCAAAGCUUCGGCGGUAACGGAUGGGCGUGCGGUUGAUUAGGUAGGUGGGGGGGUAACGGCCCACCAAGCCUACGAUCAAUAGCUGAUGUGAGAGCAUGAUCAGGCAAGCGGGAACUGAGACACGGGCCCGACUCCUACGGGAGGCAGCAGUAAGGAAUAUUGGGCAAUGGACGAAAGUCUGACCCAGCGAUGCCGCGUGGAGGAUGAAGGUCCUCUGGAUUGUAAACUUCUUUUUUCUGGGGCGAAAACCGGUUUUUCUAAACCAUUUGACAGUACCAGAAGAAUAAGCACCGGCUAACUCCGUGCCAGCCGCCGCGGUAAGAC